UACGGAGGGUGCAAGCGUUAUCCGGAUUUACUGGGUUUAAAGGGUGCGUAGGUGGGUAGGAAAGUCAGUGGUGAAAUCUUCGGGCUUAACCCGGAAACUGCCAUUGAUACUAUUUAUCUUGAAUACUUUGGAGGUAAGCGGAGUAUGUCAUGUAGCGGUGAAAAUGCUUAGAUAUGACAUAGAACACCAAUUGCGAAGGCAGCUUACUACACAGUUAUUGACACUGAGGCACGAAAGCGUGGGGAUCAAACAGG
rnacentral:rRNA from 1 species